rnacentral:rRNA from 1 species
UACAGAGGUUCCGAGCGUUGUUCGGAUUCACUGGGCGUAAAGGGUGCGUAGGUGGCAGGGUAAGUCGGAUGUGAAAGCUCGGAGCUCAACUCCGAAAUGGCAUUGGAAACUACCCAGCUCGAGGGUUGGAGGGGGGACUGGAAUGCUUGGUGUAGCAGUGAAAUGCGUAGAUAUCAAGCGGAACACCAGUGGCGAAGGCGAGUCUCUGGGCAGAUACUGACGCUCAGGAGCGAAAGCGUGGGGAGCGAACAGG